rnacentral:rRNA from 1 species
GGAAUCAACGCUGGCGGCGUGCCUAACACAUGCAAGUCGAACGAGAAAGUGGAGCAAUCCACGAGUAAAGUGGCGCACGGGUGAGUAACACGUGACUAACCUACCCUUGAGUGGGGAAUAACUGAGGGAAACCUUAGCUAAUACCGCAUAAUACCUACGGGCCAAAGGAGCAAUUCGCUUAAGGAGGGGGUCGCGGCAGAUUAGUUAGUUGGCGGGGUAAUGGCCCACAAGACAGUGAUCUGUA